UACGUAGGGUCCGAGCGUUGUCCGGAAUUACUGGGCGUAAAGAGCUCGUAGGUGGUUUUGUCGCGUUGUCCGUGAAAACGUCAACAGCUCAACUGUGGGCGUGCGGGCGAUACGGGCAGGCUGGAGGCAGGGCAGGGGAGAACGGAAUUCCCGGUGUAGCGGUGAAAUGACGCAGAUAUCGGGAGGAACACCGGUGGCGAAGGCGGUCUCUGGGCCUGUGCUGACGCUGAGGAGCGAAGCGUGGGAGCAAAACAGG
rnacentral:rRNA from 1 species